rnacentral:rRNA from 1 species
GAAUUGACGGGGGCCCGCACAAGCGGUGGAGCAUGUGGUUUAAUUCGAUGCAACGCGAAGAACCUUACCUGGUCUUGACAUCCACGGAAGUUUUCAGAGAUGAGAAUGUGCCUUCGGGAACCGUGAGACAGGUGCUGCAUGGCUGUCGUCAGCUCGUGUUGUGAAAUGUUGGGUUAAGUCCCGCAACGAGCGCAACCCUUAUCCUUUGUUGCCAGCGGUCCGGCCGGGAACUCAAAGGAGACUGCCAGUGAUAAACUGGAGGAAGGUGGGGAUGACGUCAAGUCAUCAUGGCCCUUACGACCAGGGCUACACACGUGCUACAAUGGCGCAUACAAAGAGAAGCGACCUCGCGAGAGCAAGCGGACCUCAUAAAGUGCGUCGUAGUCCGGAUUGGAGUCUGCAACUCGACUCCAUGAAGUCGGAAUCGCUAGUAAUCGUGGAUCAGAAUGCCACGGUGAAUACGUUCCCGGGCCUUGUACACACCGCCCGUCACACCAUGGGAGUGGGUUGCAAA